GAUCAUGGCUCAGGAUGAACGCUGGCGGCGUGCCUAACACAUGCAAGUCGAGCGAUUCUCUUCGGAGAAGAGCGGCGGACGGGUGAGUAACGCGUGGGUAACCUGCCUCAUACACAUGGAUAACAUACCGAAAGGUAUGCUAAUACAGGAUAAUAUAAGAGAUUCACAUGGAUUUCUUAUCAAAGCUCCGGCGGUAUGAGAUGGACCCGCGUCUGAUUAGCUAGUUGGUAAGGUAACGGCUUACCAAGGCGACGAUCAGUAGCCGACCUGAGAGGGUGAUCGGCCACAUUGGAACUGAGACACGGUCCAAACUCCUACGGGAGGCAGCAGUGGGGAAUAUUGCACAAUGGGCGAAAGCCUGAUGCAGCAACGCCGCGUGAGUGAUGAAGGCCUUCGGGUCGUAAAACUCUGUCCUCAAGGAAGAUAAUGACGGUACUUGAGGAGGAAGCCCCGGCUAACUACGUGCCAGCCGCAGC
rnacentral:rRNA from 1 species